rfam:Asian citrus Psyllid, Diaphorina citri - Florida Strain, whole genome shotgun sequence.
ACUCCCAUGGCGUAGUGGUCACUGCACUCGCCUUGCACGCGGGAGACCCGGGUUCGAUUCCCGGCGGGGUCA